rnacentral:rRNA from 1 species
UACGUAUGGGGCAAGCGUUGUCCGGAAUUAUUGGGCGUAAAGGGUACGUAGGCGGUUUAUCACGUCUAUAUUAAAAGGCAAUGGCUUAACCAGUGUAUGGGAUGGAAAGUGGUAAACUUGAGUAGAUUAGGGGAAAGUGGAAUUCCUAGUGUAGCGGUGAAAUGCUUAGAUAUUAGGAGGAACACCAGUGGCGAAGGCGGGUCUCUGGGCAGUAACUGACGCUGAGGAGCGAAAGCAUGGGGAGCGAACAGG